GAACGCAGGAGGUUGCAGGCAGCUCUGACCAGCCUGUCUCUCCCUACCCCUUGUUUCAGACCUCUCCAGAGUCUGAUGUCCUUCUGCACAGUCCUUGUUGUCCAGUCUGUGGCCCAAACACCCACAGGGCAUGGUGGAGGCCUGAGACAGCACUGGUUUUGCUGAGGCCAUCAGAAAAGCUUACGAAGCAGGCUCGGCCAUUGGCUGGAGGUCACUGGCCCCUGCUGGGCUCAUGCAAUACUCAUGGAACUGGUGUGGGCUCCUGCGGGCUCCCUGUGAGCAAUGCCUCACCCAUUUACAGCUUGUCAAAGGACUCGUUCAAUAUCCUGUGUCCCUUUCUGUUUAUUUUUUCUCUCCCCCCGUGCUGUCCUCCUUCCACUCUCCCCGACCACCCCUCUUCUUUUUAAGCUCUUGGCACCAAGUAGCUAUGAAGACUCUGAGACCUGGACCAUCCCAAGGCUGUAGCUUUCUUUCUUCAAGUCUGGCAGGCUCUGUCGCUGUGAAGAGUCUGAAGGCUUUUUCUUUUCCAGAUGUAAUUACUAACCAACAUUCACAUCAGAUUCACAAUUGGAAAGCCAGCUGUUAAACACUUACCAGCUCACUACUGGAAAGAAGUAUAUAUGGACUACUCCCUUGUAUGAUUCCAGAAGAAAGAACGUUAUAAAACACCUACAACUUGGCAAUCAGGGGCCUGAGGUACAGCUGAAGUACAGCUGUGGAACAGGAGAUGCUAAUUCCUAAGAAGAGAGCAACACAGAUUUUACAGUCAGCAGCCAGAGGUUACCCUCAGAACAAGAAUGUGAAAAAUAAACCAGAUAUGCUAAACUGAACUCUACCACUGGACACCAACAAGGGUAAAUGGUAGAAAAGCCAUAAUCACUUCUAAAUUCAAGGGUAGGAUUAAUACUAUAUUUUCACGGUACCUGAAAGUUCUGUGGCCUUUCCUAGACACCAGUUCAUGUGAUUGCCGGAACAGAACUGAGGUUGAGGGGAAAGUUAGGUAUCAGCAUUGAGCCCAUUUUACAGAUGGGAAACUGAGACACUGGAAGGUAAAAUAGUUUGCCCAAGGUUACUUUUUCUGCAUAAAUGGCUACCCUGGGACUAGAUGGGGACAGAACUACCACAGACUUGGGGGUCAGACAUACUUUGGUUAAAAACUCAACCUUGACAUUUAUGUAACAUUGGUAACGUUACUUUACCUUUUUAAAGCCUUGGGUUUUUGUUUGUUUGUUUAAACUUACAAAAUGGGGAUGAUAAAGCCAGAUCCCAAGUUUGCAGUGAGGGUUAGUUUAAGAUGAUGACAGAUGCAAAGGACUUGAUGAUUGGGAAGACUUUGCACCUCCUAUCGUGUACUUACAUUACUUAUAUUUGAUUUUGAAAUACAGUAUAAGACUCUUUUGGCUAAC